rnacentral:lncRNA from 1 species
AACAGCCUUUUUUGGCCCAGUUCCUGUCCAGCUCAUGGCGGCCAAUGUAGGCCCAAAACUUCCUCAAGUCAAACUCUCCAGGCCCACCUUCUGCUUCCCGGUGGCAUGAACCGGCCCAGCUUUGACUUGAGAACAGCCUCUGCAGGCCCUGCUCUUGCCUCCCAGGGGCUUUUUCCAGGCCCAGCUCUUGCCUCAUGGCAGCUGCCCCAGGCCGAAUUUCUGCCUGCCUGCCAGCAGCCUCAACAGGCACAGCUCCUCCCUCACAGUGGCCCAUUUAGCCCCGCUUUUGACUUUCCACCGAAAGUCCCAGCCUCCUGCCUCCCGAAGGCCUGCACAGGCCCAGCCUCUGCCUCACAGCGGACUCUCCUCGCCCAGCUAGCUGUCGCCUCACUGCGGCCUCCCGAGUCCAAAGUUCCUGCCUCUCGGCCGCUUCGGCAGGCCCAGCUCCCGCCUGCCAGUGGCCUCUUCAGGCCCAUGGGGCUCAUUCCUCACAACGGCCUUUCCAGGCCCAGUUUUUCCCUUCCGGCGGCCUCUCCGGGCCCAGAACCUCCUCAAGUCGGCCUCUCCAGACCCACUUGCAUCCUCCGGGCGUCCUCUCCGGGCCCAGCUCUUCUUCCUGGUUGCGUUUCCAGGCCCGACUCCUGCCUCUCAACAACCUCUUUGGACUCAGUGCCUACCCAUCUCCUGGCGGCAUUGGUCGGCCCACAGCUUCCUCAAGCCAAGCUCCCGAGGCCCAGGUCAGGCCUCACGGUGGCCUCUCCAGGAUGAGCUGCUGCCCUCCGAUGGCAUCUCCAGGCCCCAAAUGGUCUCCGGUCGGUGGGCUCCUCCAUGCCACUGCUGCAUGCCACUGCUUGGGCCUCCAUCCCAGCGACUGCUGCAGGCCCAAGUUGUCCUGAAGUCGGCCUCUCCCGGCCCUGCCUCCCAGCAAGUAAGCAAGCUCUUUUGGCUCAACUGCCCAGCUCCCAACCGCCUUUCUAGGCCCCGAACUUUCUGCAGCCAAGCUCUGAGGGCCCACCUCCUGCCUCCCGGUGGCCUGUACAGGCCCAGCACUGGUUGGAGAACAGCCUCUGCAGGCCCCGCCCUUGCCUCCCAGGUGCCUCUCCAGGCCCAGCUCUUGCCCCCACGGCGGCCUCCUGGGGCCAAGUCCCUGCCUGCCUCCCAGCAGCCCGCGUGCGGCCCAGCUCCUCCCUCACGGUGGCCUGUUGAUGCCCAACUCAUGCCUCUGGCACCCUGCCCAGAGGCG